rnacentral:tRNA from 1 species
AGGGUAUAGCUCUGUAGUAGAGUGUUUGCUUACCAAGCAUGAGGUCCUGGGUUCAACCCCCAGUAUCUCUA